rnacentral:rRNA from 1 species
GAUGAACGCUGGCGGCGUGCCUAAUACAUGCAAGUCGAGCGAACAGACGAGGAGCUUGCUCCUUUGACGUUAGCGGCGGACGGGUGAGUAACACGUGGAUAACCUACCUAUAAGACUGGGAUAACUUCGGGAAACCGGAGCUAAUACCGGAUAACAUGUUGAACCGCAUGGUUCAACAGUGAAAGACGGUCUUUCUGUCACUUAUAGAUGGAUCCGCGCCGCAUUAGCUAGUUGGUAAGGUAACGGCUUACCAAGGCAACGAUGCGUAGCCGACCUGAGAGGGUGAUCGGCCACACUGGAACUGAGACACGGUCCAGACUCCUACGGGAGGCAGCAGUAGGGAAUCUUCCGCAAUGGGCGAAAGCCUGACGGAGCAACGCCGAGUGAGUGAAGAAGGUCUUCGGAUCGUAAAACUCUGUUAUUAGGGAAGAACAAAUGUGUAAGUAAAUAUGCACGUAUUGACGGUACCUAAUCAGAAAGCCACGGCUAACUACGUG